CGUGGCUUUGGUGAGAGCUUUUAUCACAAGCAAUGAUACUGUGUGUGUGCCCGUGAGGAACAGGAAUGACAGUUGUCCUUCCCUUUAGAUCUCCAUCUGGUUCUGGUCUGAGAGGAAAUACAACCAUCUGCAGAGGAAAUACAACCAGCUGCCUCAAGCUUGUUGGUCAUAUCUUCACUGCCAUGAUGGACUAUACCCCCAAACUGUAAGAACGGAGGAUGCCAGUGAUCAGGCAGACACGGUGCUGGAGAAGUAGCUGAGAGUUCUACAUCUAGAUCCACAGGCAGCAGGAAGAGAGAGACAUUGGGACUCGCUUGAGCUCUUGGAACAUCGUAACCCACCCUCAGUGACAUACUUCCUCCAACAGGAAGUAUGAGGGACAUACUAUUCAAUGAGGUCAUACCCUCUAAUCCUUUCAAAUAGUGCCACUCCCUGAUAACUGAACAUUCAAAUAUAUGAGCCUAUAGGAGCCAUUCUUAUUUAAAAAGCCUGGCUCCCACUAAAUUUAUACAGACUGACCUUAAGACAAGGCCUGUCUUUAAGUAAUCCCAGCUCUUACUUUCUUCAUUCUCAUCUGAACCCCAACCACAGGUUCCCACAGUGUCAAUUGUGGCAGCAACACUAGCUUUUAGCUGUCAGUCCCUAUGAUCAACCUGCCACUUUGCCAACAGAAUUGUGGAGUUGGGGAGGGGCAAUGGAGGUAGCCAUGCAUCACAAGACCACACUUUAGUUCCCAGCUCUUUCCCCAUUUUCCAGGCAUUUAUUUAUACCUGUUAUGACCUUUAGCACCCUGCAAAUGUUAUUUCUGGUGACGUUGUCAAGUUUUAUGUGUUUUCCCAGACAGGAAUCACCGACAUGUUCCCUGGGCCCUGAGUCAGAAGCUCAAUAAAUGCAAUGUUUUGUGAAUUACCAAGUGGGCAAUGUGGAGAAUGUUGUCACAGGGUGGCACCAUCAUUCAGAGGAAAAAUCCUCCACAGCAAUUAAACACAGCGGAAAGGAGAGUAAAUGGACACACCUGUAAUUCUACCAUCCAGAGCAAACCACACCUUCUUGGCUCUGGUCUCUCUGUUCUUCAGUGUGUUGGAGGGGUUGUUUGAGUUGUCAUAGGGUUGGAGCAGAGCCUUUGCAGCCCAAACAAGCUGCAGUCUGCACCUGAACUCAGUAGGACAAUUUAAACAGGCAAUUAAUAGUGAAGAACACAGAGUCACCCACUGUGGGCACAUUAUAAUGAGUAAUAAGUAGGAUUUAGUGAUCUCAAAUCCAUCUCUGAGGUCCUGAUGUGACGUUCCUGUUUAAACAGAGUAAAAAACAUAUGCUCAGCUAAGCAGUCCUGCUCAUCUUGACCUAUCAUUGACUUGGCUGCUGUCUCUCCUAUGAAGUGGCUCGACAGGCUGUCAGAACUGUGUGAAAUCUCUCUCAGGAAGACAUGGUUCCCCUCUGGCUAUAUGUUUUUCCUUCUCCCAACAAGAGAUUCCUAGGGAAAUUCCAGUUUCUUGGGCGGCCAUUGUUUCAGUAGUCUAAUAGCAAAAGAGAGGAUCACUAGUGACCUGUUAGAGUAUUCUCAUUGCUGCCAAGUGUGUGGUUUGAGAAUAACCUCCAGAGGCUCAUAGAUAUGAAUUUGCUUGGUCCUUGGUUGGUGGAUCAGUUUGGGAAGGAUUAGGAGGUGUGGCCUUUUAAAGGAGUUGUGUUAUUGGAGGUGGACUUUGAGGUUUCAAAAGCCCAAACCAGGCCCAAUCUCUCUCUCUCUCUCUCUCUCUCUCUCUCUCUCUCUCUCUCUCUCUCUCUCCUCUCUUCUGCCUCCAACUUGUGGGUCAGGAUGUAAGCUCAUAGCUACUGCUCCAGUGCCAUGACUGCCUGCCUCAUGCCAUGCUCACUGCCAUGAUGGUUAUGGAUUCACCCUCUGGAGCAAGUCCCCAAUUAAAUGUUUUCUUUUAUAAGAUGCCUUCGUCGUGAUGUCUUUUUCCCCCUACCAAUAAAAAAGUAACUAAGACACAAAGAUAAUGGCAAGGUGCAGUUUUUUUUUUUUACACAAAUGAAACCACAAAAUACACUGUCUGACCCCAUUGCUGAGACAUGUUGCAUUGCAUUGUGUAUGUAUGUCUCAAAUAAAGAGGUCUCUAGCCUCAAUUUAGAGUGCUCUAGGCAGGCCAUGUUCCUUUCCUUUGAAAAAGUUAAUUUAUUAUUUUUAACUUUCUCAGUUUUAUGGAUGUAUAGUUAACAAAUAAAUUAUACAUAUAUAAAAUUUGCUAAAUGCAGCUGUGUAGUGAUUUACAAUGGAGCUGAUUAACAUAGCUAUCACCUGACACGGUCACACCUGUGUACUGGGACCUCUGGUCUAUGUAGUCCUAUGUUCCUAUGCUCACCUGGCUGAGCAAUGGGUCUCUUGAGCGCCUUUAUCUUAGAACUUCAGCUUGAGCCUGUCCAUCAAUCUCUUUCCCCUCCCCAUGGCUUCCUGACCCUGGCAACCUUCUACUUUGUGCUGUGGGCAUUUCAUUUCUGUAGAUUGUACACAGAAGUGAGGUCAUGUGGUAUUUGUCUUUCAGGGGCUGGGUGACUCACUGAGCACAAUGUCCUCCAGGUUUGUCCAUGCUGUCACAACUCAGGGAAUUUCCUCCUCUUCAAGACUGAGUAAUAUUCCUGUGUAUGAGUCACAGUUUCUUUAUCCCUAUGUCCAUCAGCAGAACUUAGGAUGACUCUCUGUCUUGACUCUUGUGAACCGCAC
rnacentral:lncRNA from 1 species